CUCCUGAAUAUAUGGCCUUCCCCAGGGAACUGCCGAUACCAUGGGAAGUAG
rnacentral:sRNA from 1 species